UCCAGACCAUGCCUUAAGGGUACUCUGUUGAAGUGCCCUUCCAAAGGAGAAAGAAAGUGUCCAUGGCUUCUUACCCUUCACUUGGUUGAUGGCAUUGAGGUUGACAGUGGCCUCUUCCUCGCUCUGUCCACCAGACAAGAAGACGACGGCGGGAACUGCGGCAGGUACGGUUCGCUGCAAGGCUCUAACGGUGUGCUCAGCAACAACCUCGGGUGCAACCUUUGGUGAAUCGGAUCCUGGUGUCACCAUGUUAGGCUUCAAGAGAGUUCCUUCGAGGAGGACAUGGUGGUCACUCAAGGCCUUGUAGGUUGCUGCAAGGACACGCUCGGUGAUGGCGGCACACUUGUGAAUGUCGUGAGAUCCGUCAACAAGGAUC
rnacentral:lncRNA from 1 species